AGGAAAAGCAAUAUGUCACCCGACAUUGGUCGAUCGGGUGACAUAAUAAUACGGAAAAAGAAACAGAGGAAAAGCAAUAUGUCACCCGACAUUGUCGAUCGGGUGACAUAAUAAGAAAAAAAAGAAACGUAGAAUAACAAUACGUCACCCCAACUCCGUUGAGGGUGCCAUAACUAGAAUUGCCAUUACAAGCAAUAGCAGAUGUCACCCUUCCCC
rnacentral:lncRNA from 1 species